AUUGCUUCUGGAGUUUUCGGCUAAGAUCAAAGUUUAGUUUCUGUGCUUAUCGAAUUAAUCUUCGCUAGAGAUUCGAAGGAAUCUCGUUAAGGUUAUUCGAUUUUUGGAACAGGACGGGUUUGGGGGCUUGCUCGCAACCCAUCACGGGUCGGCCCAGCGUUGCACUGCUGCUGGUAUCGGCCCAGCCCAA
rnacentral:snRNA from 1 species